rfam:Gossypium hirsutum cultivar TM-1 unplaced genomic scaffold scaffold3708.1, whole genome shotgun sequence
AAUAGCAGAAUGACAAAUCAGAUUUUUCCUCCUGAUUUCCAGCUUUUUCCUCCUGAAAACAAAUUCAAAUCCAACUAAUAAUGCUAAAAAUCAGGAGGAAAAAUCUGAUUUGUCAUUCUCCUAUU